AUGAACGGGCACGACGACGAGAACCUCACCGACCUCAUCUUCUAUUGGUCCCUCCAAGACGUCGUCAACCAAGACUUCUUCAGGGACAAAGUGAGCCGGAUACCUGACAGGUUCUUGGGCCUGAGGAGCUACCUGGACUCAUUCAGGGCUCCGCUGCUGGAGGAAAUCCGGGAAGAUAUGAGAUCCAGCCUCGAGGCACAGACCAACUGCUGCAGGCCCGUGCAGAUACGGCCCUUGUUUCCCAUGCCCAAGGGGGCCACAACCCACAAGGCCCCCACCCCCCCGUAUCGCGUGUCCAUCCGUGGAGCUUCUCCCCCGUGCACCAGCGACAUCGUCCUGCUCUCGACGGCGAUGCCGCUCCGGCCGUCCGACCUUGCCGGUGGCAACGGCGGCGCAUCCUACUGCCUCGCCCACGUCCAAAGCGUCCACAGGGACGGCACCAACUUUCUGAUCAGAGCUUCCCAGAGAGUAGACGAUUACGUCAACAGCUACGCGUUCAGCACUUCCCUGACCGGCGCCACCGACGUCGACGUGCCGCGAUCCGUAUCAGGCAGGCUGUCUGUGUUCGGGCUCAACGAGUCCCAGACUGGCGCCAUACUGAGCUGCGUGUCUGCGGUGCAGCGUGCCGGUGCCGGUGGCGGCGGCGGCGCAAGCAGCAAGGUUAGCCUCAUCUGGGGGCCGCCUGACACGGGCAAAACCAGGACCAUCAGCGUGCUCAUGCUAUCUGCCAUGAAGCUGAAAUGGCGGGUCCUGGCGUGCGCGCCGACCAACACCGCCGUCUGCCAGGUGGCCUCAAGCCUCCUGGCACUGAGGAGGCAGCACCCCGAUCCCGAUGCCUGCACUGGCCACGGCAAUCUGCUACUGUUUGGCAACAGGCAACGCAUGCCCAUCGACGACGAUCUCAACAACAUCUUCCUGGACACUCGUCUUAAGCUUCUAACAGAGUGCUUCUCGCCGGAGACGGGAUGGAGGCGGCGCCUUAUUUCACUGGAAUUGUUUCUGUGCGACGAAAUAGCCAUGAUCAAGCAGAAGGAUGGCACAGAACCAGGGGAGAAGAUGGAUCUGCUUCUCAUCGACGAGGCAGCACAGCUCAAGGAAUGUGAAUCCCUUGUCCCGUUGCAAGUCUCCGGACUCAAACACGCAGUUCUUAUCGGUGACGAGCGCCAACUGCCAGCUAUGGUCCAAAGCAAGGUUUCAGAUAAGGCGUUGCUGGGCAGGAGCCUGUUUGAAAGACUGGGUUUACUCGGACACAAGAAACACCUCCUCAACAUGCAGUACAGGAUGCACCCUUCCAUAAGCAUCUUCCCCAACUUGAGCUUCUACGACAGGCAAAUCUUGAAUGGCCCCAAUGUGUUGGAGACGAAGCACCAACGUAGUUACCUUCCUGGUGCAAUGUUCGGGCCAUACUCGUUCAUCAACAUUGAAGGCGGGGAAGACCGUGGCCGCAGCAAGAUGAACAUGUCUGAGGUGGCCGCCAUCCUGCAAAUACUGCGCAGUCUCAAGAAAGCUUGUGUCAGCGCCGGGGAGGUGGUUAGCGUGGGCGUCAUAUGCCCGUACACCGCUCAGGGGAAGGCGAUUCAGGGGAAGAUAGGGGACGUGAAGGCGAUGCGCCCCCUGGUUCUUCACAUCAACUCCGUGGAUGGGUUCCAGGGCAGCGAAGAAGAUGUGAUCAUCCUCUCCACUGUCAGGUCCAACGGCACCGGCUCGGUCGGCUUCCUGUCGAACCGGCAUCGCGCUAAUGUCGCCUUGACGAGGGCGAGGCAUUGCUUCUGGAUCCUAGGCAACGUGGCGACGCUUAGCGGUAGCGGCUCCAUCUGGGGGGAGCUGGUUCGGGAUGCGGCGGAACGUCGGUGCUUCUUUGACUGGGACGAUGGCGAGGGCGUGUCUCCUGCAGUUUCUCGCGGCGCUCGCUUGAUUGGGCCUGGACGUGGUGAAGUCGCUUCAGCUUUAGGCAUGCACCUGGCAGGGGAUAUCAGUGAAGCGCUCGGUUCUCUGCGACUCGCUUAA
rnacentral:rRNA from 1 species